AGUCACUGACAUUAGAUACCCUCGUAGUCCAGGGUGUAAACGCUGCAGACUUGGUGUUGGAAGCCCUUUGGGGGCAUUCAGUGCCGGAGAGAAGUUGUUAAGUCUGCUACUUGGGGAGUACGUCCGCAAGGAUGAAACUUAAAGGAAUUGGCGGGGGAGCACCGCAACGGGAGGAGCGUGCGGUUUAAUUGGAUUCAACACCGUAAACUCACCAGGGAAGACUGUUACAUGAAGGCCGAGAUGAAGACUCUGCUAGAUUUUCAG
rnacentral:rRNA from 1 species